ACCGGAAGUUUGAUUGCUUGUGCCGCAGGCAGGGGGAAGCUCUCUCCCUGGCAACCGGGCCUCGCCUCCGAGGAGAGACGCUGAGCCUCAGCUACCGGCUGAGGAUGUGGAUGUUUCCCCUGCUGCGCGCCGUGACUCUCCUUCGAGUCACUUGCAGCUCUUUUCCUUUUAACUGAGUAGGAGAUGUUACCUAUUCUCAGAAUUGCAGUAGAAUUACCGAUCUUGGAUUGAAGUCGCUCACUGGAGCCGCUGCUGCAGAAAGUGUAUGUUGCAAAGGACCAGCAUCCCACAAUCCCAUAACGGAAUCACAAAGUAAUGCUGCAAGAUGUGCUGAAUGUUUUCAACACUUUCUUUUGACCAUUUAUAAGCAGAUGUUUUUGCGUGUGAAAGUUUUCAGCAAUUAAAGGUUUUUGAACAAAAUCAGCCCCCUACUAAAGAUCAGCUGAAGUUGAAACAAUGGGGCUGUUUGACAAACUAGCUGGCUGGCUUGGUCUAAAGAAGAAGGAGGUUCACGUGUUGUGUUUGGGACUGGACAAUAGUGGGAAAACAACUAUAAUUAAUUGCCUAAAACCUUCAAAUUCUCAAGUACAGGAUAUUGUUCCAACCAUUGGAUUCAGCAUUGAGAAUUUCAAGACCUCUGGUCUGUCCUUUACAGUGUUUGAUAUGUCUGGCCAGGGUAGAUAUCGAAACCUGUGGGAACACUAUUAUAAGGAAGGCCAGGCCAUCAUUUUUGUUGUUGAUAGCAGUGACAAAUUAAGGAUGGUGGUUGCCAAAGAAGAGCUUGACACACUUCUUAAUCAUCCAGACAUUAAACACAGACGAAUUCCAAUAUUAUUCUUUGCAAACAAGAUGGACCUCAAAGAUGCUUUGUCAUCUGUCAAGGUUUCCCAAAUGUUGUGUUUAGAAAAUAUCAAAGAUAAGGCUUGGCAUAUUUGUGCCAGUAAUGCAAUAAAAGGGGAAGGACUACAAGAAGGUGUUGACUGGCUCCAAGAAAUGCCACUGUAGUCAUCUGAUGAAUAAUUACAGCAAGCCAUAGCAAAUAAAAUAUCAGCCACUAGGUGUCAGGCAUAUUUUGACUGCAGAUCAAAUCAAAGCAAUGAAGGUAUGAAGACAACUGAAAAGAGAAGCAAAAGAAUGUGAUUUGACACUACUCGAGCUGAAUAUUGCACCAGAUAUAUCUCAUCAUGUUGGGGACCAAACUUUUAAUUUACCUUCAAUUUAAAUUGUAUGUUUCAGAAAGCAAAAUAAUGUACAUAGUCAAAGUAAUGUAGUAUUUUUGUAAUACUAAGAUACAGUGUAAAUUUUACUUUAUGCUAUAUUAAGGAAUUAAUUGUUAUGAAGACCUGGAAGAAGUACCCAAUGAGAAUUUGGUGUUUAAAAAAGCAUCAAAAGUACUACUUACACGAAGAGUCUUGAAUUGGGGGAUUCACUGCCAGCUUGCUCUGAACAUGUAAAUAAGAUAGAACAGCCUCACACAUUCUUAGGCAAUAUCUUUUUGAAUAAUGUGAAAAAUAAAUUAAGACCACUCAGCAAUUGUUAGGACCUUGACAACCUAACUAUAGGCCACUGUCGGCUGAUCUAAAUUUGGAAAAUCUUUUGCUCAGCACAGAGCAAUGUACAGCCUUUUUUUGAUCACAGCAGCUGGGAGGAGAGAAAAAAAAAUGUAUAGCUCUUUAUGUAGGUAAUAUUCUGAUGCUCUUCUUAUAAGAGGAAAGCACCAACUCAGGCUAUUUGAAAUAGAAGUAUUUAGACAUGUUUAGAAAAAUAUGUUUUUUUUCUAAACAUGACCCUUUUCAUCAGUUGUGUGGCCCAGAUUUUGUGAUGGUUAUACAGAUGACAAAAUUGCAGUGUUCUCUGUCAUUAUUUCUCUGUGAAACUGACGCAACUUUUGUCAUUCACACAUUCGCAGUUGAACUUUGAAAUCCAAAGGUUAUUCCCUAUUUCUCUGGUCUCCAUAGAAGUGCACUGUUGAACUCCCCAGUAAUGGAAAUCAAUGAGAAAUCACUGAACUGAUGAAAACUUGACCUCUUAUACUGGGAUACUGAUGUAAAAACCGUGGAAAAGUUAUACCUUAGUGAUGUUGUAACUUUUUUUUAAGGAAAGUGUACCAGGUAAUAACUACUGCUGAAGACCAGUUUUGCCCUUUCUAAUUUUACAUUUGUGCAAUGUCAAAUAUUUCCAUCAUGAUGAAAUCCAGUUUAAUUCUAGUAUUUCAACUAAUGUAAGUUACAAUCUUUAUUUUGCUUUCUGCAAAAUGUAUGAAAAGUGAAGGUCACACAAUGCUUUUUACUUCCCAUCUUGUGGUCUCAGAAUUUCAUAAUGUGAUUGGCUGCUUACCCUGCCUGAUGAUCUCACGCUUGCUGAACACCUCAGGAUCCAUUUUAGUUGACACCAGAUAUAAAUUAAGGUCAGGCAAAAUGAAAACAAGUUCAAAGAGACAAUAAUAUCUGUAUGGGCAACUUAUCUCUCUUCCUUUAAGGUCAGUUGUGAGUGUCAUUUCAUCACUAGUCACAAAAUCCAGACUAUUUGUUAUGUAAAUGAUGAUGGAGAGAAACUUUUAAACAUUGCUUUAGCUUCCUUGUCUGUUAUGUCACCCAAAUAAAAUGCAGUUUUUUGAUGUUUCA